GAUGAAGAACGUAGUAAAAUGCGAUAAGUAAUGUGAAUUGCAGAAUUCAGUGAAUCAUCGAAUCUUUGAACGCACAUUGCGCCCGCCAGUAUUCUGGCGGGCAUGCCUGUUCGAGCGUCAUUUCAACCCUCAAGCACAGCUUGGUGUUGGGACUCGCGUUAAUUCGCGUUCCUCAAAUUGAUUGGCGGUCACGUCGAGCUUCCAUAGCGUAGUAGUAAAACCCUCGUUACUGAUAAUCGUCGCGGCCACGCCGUUAAACCCCAACUUCUGAAUGUUGACCUCGGAUCAGGUAGGAAUACCCGCUGAACUUAAGCAUAUCAAUAAGCGGAGGA
rnacentral:misc_RNA from 1 species